rnacentral:rRNA from 1 species
UACAGAGGGUGCAAGCGUUGUUCGGAAUUAUUGGGCGUAAAGGGCGCGUAGGCGGUUCGGCAAGUCUCUAGUGAAAUCUCUGGGCUCAACUCAGAGUCUGCUGGGGAAACUGCCGGGCUUGAGUGUGGGAGAGGAGAGUGGAAUUCCCGGUGUAGCGGUGAAAUGCGUAGAUAUCGGGAAGAACAUCGGUGGCGAAAGCGCUCUACUGGACCGCAACUGACACUCAGGGACGAAAGCUAGGGGAGCGAAUGGG